CCUCAAUAGUUCGAGCGAGACCUUAAGGAGAAAAACAGAGAGUUCAAUCGAGAGGAAAAUUGGGAGAAUCGAGUGAAAGUUGGAGAGCUGGAGUGAAAUCUCUUUGAUACAUGGCUUCUUGAAGAUUUUUUGCUACCAUUGAAGGAAGAAGAAGACGAAGCUUGGCUACUUCUCCAUCUCAGUCGUGAAAUAAGCUUAAAUUGAGGUCAUGGUGAUUCAAAACAGGACUUUAAAGUAUUCUUAAAGAAGGCGUUAUUGGUGCCAAAAGAGAGAAGACGAAUGCCAAAAAAAAAUGGUUUACUUUGAGUUAAAUGGCAUGAUAGACUUUCAACCAUGUAUGAACCAAGAUUUUAAGUAUUAGUGGUAAAAUUUGGUUGGGAAUUAAAGUGGAGCAGAAGUUUGUUGAAUUUUGGAUGCCAAAAGAGUCAGCUCACAAGGACCAGUCUGAGUUAGGGAGGUGUUCGCUGCUCUGAGAAGCUAGCCUGACGCGGUGCCGUCCACUACUCCCACUCCCGACUUGGGACUGGCGAGUUGAUAAAUUGUGCGCGCAAGAAGAACCUACCGACUGAAACAAAAACAUAGUUGUCCAUGUGCCUUCCGACUUGAGCUAAAGAUUUAGAUUAUGGGCCAUUUAGUUUGUUUGUACUUUGUAGUUUGUACACACCUUCGCCUGAUGGGCUUGAGAAGCCCAAGUGUGGAUUUUUUCCUCGGAAAUUAAAUUCGAACAAAUAAAUUUUCUUAA